rnacentral:rRNA from 1 species
AUUUCUUAGAAAUAAUUAAGAGUAGCUUCUGCUCAAUGUAAAAUAAAUGGCCGCAGUAUCUUGACUGUGCAAAGGUAGCAUAAUAAUUAGUCUUGUAAUUGAAGACUGGAAUGAAAGGAUAAACUAGAAAAUUUCUUUUUUGACUGUUAUUUUUAAAUUUUACUUUUUAGUAAGAAGGCUAAAAUGAUUCUUUUAGACAAGAAGACCCUAUAAAACUUUACAUAAGAUAAUUUAAUAAUUAAAAACAUGUUUUGCUGGGGCGGUAAGUGGAAAAACACCUUUAGAUUAUUAAAAUGUUAAAAUUAUAAUACCCAAAAUUUUUGAAAAUUAAAUAAGUUACUUUAGGGAUAACAGCGUAAUAUAUUUUGAAAGUUCAAAUUGACAAAUAUGUUUGCGACCUCGAUGUUGGAUUAAGUUUUCUUUGUUGUGCAAGAGUGAUGAAAGAAAGUCUGUUCGACUUUUAAAAAUUUCCA